GUCCUUCCCAAGACCACACCCAGGUCCAGUCAUUCCCUAGGACUUGGCAGAGAGCUGUACUCACAGCCAAGAUCACAGCAAAAUCAGCAAAGGGAAAAGGCAUGCAGAGUGAAGUCCAGAGGCAACCAGACAGAAGCAUCCAGAAUCCUCUCACAGUGGGGUCACACACCCCAUGCUUAACUCCCCCAACAAUGAGUUGUAACAACAGUCAGGUGUGGUGGUGUGUGCCUGUAGUCCCAGCUACUUGGGAGCCUGAGGCAGGAGGAUCACUUGAGUCCAGCAGUUCAAGACUGCAGUGAGCUAUGAUCAUACCACUGCACUCCAGCCUGAGUGACAGAGUGAAACUCUGUCUCUAAAAUAGGGCUCACCUGCUUGAGGAAACAGGAACUGCCUCGGGGCAGCCAGCCCCGCCCCAUUGACGUGCAGACCUUGAAUCGAAACCCAGGCUCCUGCAGGCACUGGCACAGCUACAGCGAGGGCCUCGGCCAUCCAAGGGUCUCCCAGGUGACCUUCCCUCCACCCCAGGAAGCUAUGACAGAGGCCGGGAAGCUGCCCCUACCGCUACCCCCACGGCUGGACUGGUUUGUGCACACCCAGAUGGGCCAGCUGGCCCAAGACGGGGUCCCCGAGUGGUUCCAUGGUGCAAUCUCAAGAGACAGCCUUGGAAGUGGAGUUUACUCUCCCCUUGAGGAAGCUGAAGGUCAGAAAGGGAGAGACGAUUGCCUGAGGUCACACAGCUGAUGGACAGUAGAGCUGGGUUAUGAACUCGAAUGCAUCUGAGCAUACAGGGAUGCUGAGAACUUGCUGGAGUCACAGCCACUGGGAUCCUUUCUCAUCAGGGUCAGUCACAGCCAUGUGGGCUACACACUCUCCUACAAGUAAGGCCUGGGCCGGGAUCCAGGGCAGGGGCAGGUGGGCUCUUGGGUUUCCUUGGAGGGGGCAAGGGGUGCUUCAUGUCAUAGCUUCUCAGAAAGCAGCAGUAACUGAGGCUGUGGAUCUGAGAACGGGAGCUGCUAGCCAAGCAAUGAGUGAAGCUUUUGUCCGUAGUGGCAUGUUUUAUCUGAGGCCAGCCUUUGUACUCCUGUGUUAUAAAUGGGGGAAACUGAGGCACAGCGAGGUUAGUAACCUGCUGGGUGUUGCAUGGCCAGUGAGUGAAGAAGCCUGCAUGGGAACCUGGGGUAGUCUGGCUGUAGCAGUGACGCUGCCGGCCCAAGGGCUGGGGACUUGGGGCAGGGAUGAGGGGGAGUAGGAUGUCCCAGCCCCCGCAGUGUCUCCGCAGAGCCCAAAGCAGCUGCUGCCAUUUCAUGGUGAAGCUCUUGGAUGAUGGGACUUUCAUGAUCCCCGGGGAGAAGGUGGCCCACACCUCGCUGGACGCCCUGGUCACCUUCCACCAGCAGAAGCCAAUUGAGCCGCGCAGGGAGCUGCUGACACAGCCCUGCAGGCAGAAGGAUCCCGCAAACGUGGAUUACGAGGAUCUCUUCCUCUACUCCAACGCAGUGGCCGAGGAAGCUGCCUGCCCGGUGUCUGCCCCUGAGGAGGCCUCCCCAAAGCCAGUCCUGUGUCACCAAUCAAAGGAAAGGAAGCCGUCAGCAGAGAUGAACAGAAUAACCACCAAGGAAGCCACUUCCUCCUGCCCCCCAAAAUCCCCUCUUGGAGAGACCCGCCAGAAACUCUGGAGGAGCCUCAAAAUGCUCCCCGAGAGAGGCCAGAGGGUCCGGCAGCAGCUAAAAAGCCACCUCGCCACUGUGAACUUGUCGUCACUCUUGGAUGUCCGGAGAUCCACGGUGAUCUCAGGCCCUGGGACCGGAAAAGGCAGCCAAGAUCACUCAGGGGAUCCCACCUCGGGGGACAGAGGCUACACGGAUCCCUGUGUGGCCACAUCUCUCAAAAGCCCCUCACAGCCCCAGGCACCAAAAGACAGAAAGGUCCCCACCAGGAAGGCCGAGAGGUCGGUCAGCUGCAUUGAGGUGACCCCAGGGGACAGGAGUUGGCACCAAAUGGUAGUGAGAGCCCUAUCCUCCCAGGAGUCCAAGCCAGAGCACCAGGGCUUGGCAGAGCCUGAGAACGACCAGCUCCCGGAGGAGUACCAACAACCGCCACCCUUUGCCCCUGGGUACUGCUAGAGAACAGGUCCACCCUGGCUCUGGGACUCGCUGCCAGGGGCUGCCACACUCCUGAAUGCCUUAACAUUUCUUCCAUGGCCCCACACCAUGGCAUCCGGGGGUCUUCGGGAACCCGGGAAAUGGAAUAAAGAUGUUUUUGGGGUCUGUUCCUGCACUCACCCAUGGGGUGAGCUGGUUAUUUUAGCAACAAUCAUCAGAGUGACGCUGAUGGUUUGGGGCACCAGCUAUACAUCAGCCCCAGUGCCAGACCUUCUAUUCAUUAUUUUACGCCUCAGAGCAAGGCCCUCAGGGAGGGUCAUCCUCCAUGUUUUGAAGAAGAGACUGAGGUUCAGAGAGGAUAAGAGGCGUGACCAAGGCCACAGAGCUAUGGGUGUCAGCACCAGGAUUUGAAGCCAGGUGAAUCCGAGCCCUUUUCCCAUAUCAUCUGUUUGUUCUGUUGUCUAAAAGCACACUGCAAGCCGGGCUCAGUGGCUCAUGCCUGUAGUCCCAGCACUCUGUGGGGCCGAGGCAGGCAGAUCGCUUGAGGUCAGGAGUUCGAGACCAGCCUGGCCAACAUGGUGAAACCCCGUCUAUACUAAAAAAUUCAAAAAUUACCCGGACGUGGUGGCGCAUGCCUGUAAUCCCAGCUACUUGGGAGCCUGAGGCGGGAGAAUUGCUUGAACCCGGGAGGCAGAGGUUGCAGUGAGCCGAGAUCGCAUCACUGCAGUCCAGCCUGGAUGACAGAGUGAGACUCCAUCUCAAAAAAUAAAUAAAUAAAUAAAAAUGAAAUUAAAAAAUAAAA